UCACGCUGUAAACGAUGUCGAUUUGGAGGUUGUUCCCUUGAGGAGUGGCUUCCGGAGCUAACGCGUUAAAUCGACCGCCUGGGGAGUACGGCCGCAAGGUUAAAACUCAAAUGAAUUGACGGGGGCCCGCACAAGCGGUGGAGCAUGUGGUUUAAUUCGAUGCAACGCGAAGAACCUUACCUACUCUUGACAUCCAGAGAAUUUAGCAGAGAUGCUUUAGUGCCUUCGGGAACUCUGAGACAGGUGCUGCAUGGCUGUCGUCAGCUCGUGUUGUGAAAUGUUGGGUUAAGUCCCGCAACGAGCGCAACCCUUAUCCUUUGUUGCCAGCACAUUAUGGUGGGAACUCAAAGGAGACUGCCGGUGAUAAACCGGAGGAAGGUGGGGAUGACGUCAAGUCAUCAUGGCCCUUACGAGUAGGGCUACACACGUGCUACAAUGGCGUAUACAAAGAGAAGCGACCUCGCGAGAGCAAGCGGAACUCAUAAAGUACGUCGUAGUCCGGAUUGGAGUCUGCAACUCGACUCCAUGAAGUCGGAAUCGCUAGUAAUCGUAGAUCAGAAUGCUACGGUGAAUACGUUCCCGGGCCUUGUACACACCGCCCGUCACACCAUGGGAGUGGGUUGCAAAAGAAGUAGGUAGCUUAACCUUCGGGAGGGCGCUUACCACUUUGUGAUUCAUGACUGGGGUGAAGUCGUAACAAGGUAACCA
rnacentral:rRNA from 1 species